rnacentral:rRNA from 1 species
AGGCGGUUGAUAAGUCAGCGGUGAAAUAUUCAGCUUAACUGGAAGGGUGCCGUUGAUACUGUCAGGCUUGAAUUUAGUUGCUGUGGGUGGAAUGUGUGGUGUAGCGGUGAAAUGCAUAGAUAUCACACAGAAUAUCGAUUGCGAAGGCAGCUCACAAAGCUAACAUUGACGCUGAUGCACGAAAGUGUGGGGAUCAAACAGGAUUAGAUACCCUGGUAGUCCACACUGUAAACGAUGAUAACUCGCUGUCGGCGAUACAUAGUUGGUGGCCAAGCGAAAGCGAUAAGUUAUCCACCUGGGGAGUACGACCGCAAGGUUGAAACUCAAAGGAAUUGACGGGGGCCCGCACAAGCGGAGGAACAUGUGGUUUAAUUCGAUGAUACGCGAGGAACCUUACCCGGGCUCGAACGGUGCAUGAAUGAUUCAGAGAUGGAUCAGUCCUUCGGGACAUGUAUCGAGGUGCUGCAUGGUUGUCGUCAGCUCGUGCCGUGAGGUGUCGGCUUAAGUGCCAUAACGAGCGCAACCCUUGUCGUUAGUUACCAUCAAGUAAUGUUGGGGACUCUAGCGAGACUGCCACCGUAAGGUGUGAGGAAGGGGGGGAUGACGUCAAAUCAGCACGGCCCUUACGUCCGGGGCGACACACGUGUUACAAUGGUAGGUACAGAGGGCAGCUACCCAGUGAUGGGGUGCGAAUCUCAAAAACCUAUCUCAGUUCGGAUUGGAGUCUGCAACUCGACUCCAUGAAGUUGGAUUCGCUAGUAAUCGCGCAUCAGCCAUGGCGCGGUGAAUACGUUCCCGGGCCUUGUACACACCGCCCGUCAAGCCAUGGAAGCCGGGGGUGCCUGAAGUUCGUGACCGCAAGGAGCGACCUAGGGCAAAACUGGUAACUGGGGCUAAGUCGUAACAAGGUAACC